rnacentral:lncRNA from 10 species
AGAAGAGAAGGUUAUUGGACAGGAGUGGACCAAGACUGGGAGGCAGUUGGGGUCUGCUCCCUGCAGCAAACGGAAAAGGACAAACUCUCCAAAACACCCUGCACUCAACAGCAUCCAGUCGCCAUCCUAUGAAGUAUAACAGAUGUCCUUUACAGAGCUGAUGCAACUAAAGUGCUUUCAGAUCAAAGGAGAGGAGAAUCAGGAACCUCAAGACCUGAUCUACGAUGAACAGAGCUACAAAGUUACCCAGGCGGAAGACGCAGGGGCACUGGGCUCACCUUCCCACACAGGCUGACCACCUGAGGCCAAGGAGCAGCUGGCUGCUUUGGACAGGGCACAGGCUCUCCAGCCAGCCACAGCCCCUGCUGUGCCCUGUGGCCACUUGACUCUGCAAACCCACAUUGGAUCCCACCAACAAAUGAAGACACUAAGCUGAAAGCAAUCAGAGGGAUUUUCCAAGGUCAUGCAGCAUGGUUCAGUGGAAAGAGAACAUAAUUUGGAGUUCAGACAAGCCUGCGUUUAAAUCCUAAAUCUACCAUUUAUUAGCUUAGUGAUGUUGAGCCAGACACUUAAAUCUCCCUAAGCCUUACUUUUCUUACCUAAUAAAAUGGAAC